rnacentral:tRNA from 1 species
GGUGACUCAGUGGUAGAGUGCUUGCCUUGCAUGCAUGAGGCCCUGGGUUUGAUCCCUCAGUACCA